GAUCAUGGCUCAGAUUGAACGCUGCGGCAUGCCUUACACAUGCAAGUCGAACGGCAGCACGGGAGCUUGCUCCUGGUGGCGAGUGGCGAACGGGUGAGUAAUACAUCGGAACGUACCCUGAAGUGGGGGAUAACGUAGCGAAAGUUACGCUAAUACCGCAUAUUCUGUGAGCAGGAAAGAGGGGGAUCGCAAGACCUCUUGCUUUAGGAGCGGCCGAUGUCGGAUUAGCUAGUUGGUGAGGUAAAGGCUCACCAAGGCGACGAUCCGUAGCGGGUCUGAGAGGAUGAUCCGCCACACUGGGACUGAGACACGGCCCAGACUCCUACGGGAGGCAGCAGUGGGGAAUUUUGGACAAUGGGCGCAAGCCUGAUCCAGCCAUGCCGCGUGAGUGAAGAAGGCCUUCGGGUUGUAAAGCUCUUUCGGUGGGGAAGAAAUUGCUUCGGUUAAUACCUGGAGUAGAUGACGGUACCCGCAUAAGAAGCACCGGCUAACUACGUG
rnacentral:rRNA from 1 species